GGGAAUGUCCUGGUAUCGACAGGGAUAGCUUGAGCUUGUAUGGCGAGUCGAGGGAAUCGUCCUCGUAAAAACGAUAAAGCCUUAUAACUGGCAAACAAGACAACAACUUCGCUUUCGCUGCCUAAAAACAGCUAAUAGCGGUUCCGCUCUCCAUCGUCCAUGUGGCAGGGUAGGGACUCAUUUUAAGUGGACUACGCUGAAAUCCACCGUCUGAGGAAAUCGGAAGAGAAUAACCAGACUAGCUGCUUCCAUGCCUGUCAGUAGGCUAAAGAAGUGAGUGAAUCUCAAUCUACUGACUACACUCGUAGAAGUAUAAGUGGCAAUAUCUUUGCACACGGGUUCAACUCCCGUCAUUUCCACUA
rnacentral:tmRNA from 1 species